UACGUAGGGGCCUAGCGUUGUCCGGAAUUAUUGGGCGUAAAGAGCUCGUAGGCGGUUCGGCAAGUCGGAUGUGAAAUCUCCACGCUUAACGUGGAGGGGCCAUUCGAAACUGCUGUGACUCGAGUCCGGUAGGGGAGUGUGGAAUUCCCGGUGUAGCGGUGAAAUGCGCAGAUAUCAGGAGGAACACCGAUGGCGAAGGCAGGUCUCUGGGCCAUAACUGACGCUGAGAAGCGAAAGCAUGGGGAGGGAACAGG
rnacentral:rRNA from 1 species